AUGGGAAGCGGCCAAAGCCCAAGAGCUGGGGGGGGGGGGGUUGGGGGGGGGGGGGGGGGGGGUGGGGGUCGCCUCCCCCCUCCCCCACUUUCUCUUCCUCCCGACGCUUCAAACAAGCCGCCUUCGGGUUCAGGUUGCGCUCUGCAAAGCAAACGGGAGAUGCAUGAGAUGAUCGUGUUGCAAAACCGAUUGCAACCCCAUGCACUUUUGCAUUGCAAGACCCCUUUGCAUUGCAACCCCAAAGCCUUUUGCAUUGCAUUGCAAGACCCAAGUGCAUUGCAUUGCAAGACCCCUUUGCAUUGCAACCCCGAACACUUUUGCAUUGCAAGACCUAAUUGCAUUGCAACCCCAAAGCCUUUUGCAUUGCAUUGCAAGACCCAUCUGUAUUGCAUUGCAAUCACCUCCCCUUUUGCAUUGCAAGACCCAAUUGAAUUGCAUUGCAAGACCCCUUUGCAUUGCAACCCACCUUUGCAUUGCAAUCCCCUCCCCUUUUGCAUUGCACAACCCCUUUGCAUUGCAUUGCAAGAGCCAAUUGCAUUGCAAUGCAAUCCUUUGUUGCAUUGCAUUGCAACCCCCUCCCCCAUUGCAUUGCAAGACCCUUUUGCAUUGCAUUGCAAGACCCCUUUGCAUUGCAAGACCCAAUUGCAUUGCAUUGCAACCCACCUUUGCAUUGCAAGACCUUCCCCUUUUGCAUUGCAACCUGAAUUUGCAUUGCAACCCCAUGCACUUUUGCAUUGCAAUCUUCAAUUGCAUUGCAUUGCAACCCCCAGUUGCAUUGCAUUGCAUUGCAAGACCCAAUUGCAUUGCAUUGCAAGACCUACUUGCAUUGCAACCCCAAAGACUUUUGCAUUGCAACCCCCAAUUGCAUUGCAAUCCUUUGUUGCAUUGCAUUGCAAGACCCAAAUGCAUUGCAACCCCAAACCCUUUUGCAUUGCAACCCCAUGCACUUUUGCAUUGCAAUCCUCAAUUGCAUUGCAACCCCAUGCACUUUUGCAUUGCAAGACCCUUUUGCAUUGCAUUGCAACCCACCUUUGCAUUGCAACCUACCUUUGCAUUGCAACCCCAUGCACUUUUGCAUUGCAAGACCCAAUUGCAUUGCAACCCCAUGCACUUUUGCAUUGCAUUGCAAGACCCCUUUGCAUUGCAUUGCAAGCCAUCUUUGCAUUGCAAGACCCCUUUGCAUUGCAUUGCAAGCCAUCUUUGCAUUGCAAGCCCCUCCCCUAUUGCAUUGCAAGACUCAAUUGCAUUGCAAUGCAAUCCUUUGUUGCAUUGUACUGCGAGACCCCUUUGCAUUGCAAUCCGAAUUUGCAUUGCAAUCCCUUCCCCUUUUGCAUUGCAAGACCUAAUUGCAUUGCAACCCCAAACCCUUUUGCAUUGCAACCCGAAUUUACAUUGCAACCCCAUGCACUUUUGCAUUGCAACCCUCAAUUGCAUUGCAACCCUCAAUUGCAUUGCAACCCCAAACCCUUUUGCAUUGCAUUGCAAGACCCAAUUGCAUUGCAUUGCAAGCCAUCUUUGCAUUGCAACCCCCUCCCCUUUUGCAUUGCAACCCCAUCCACUUUUGCAUUGCAAUCCUCAAUUGCAUUGCAUUGCAUGACCCCUUUGCAGUGCAGUGCAACCCACCUUUGCAUUGCAACCCCCUCCCCUUUUGCAUUGCAUUGCAAGACCCCUUUGCAUUGCAUUGCAAGACCCAAUUGCAUUGCAACCCCAAAGACUUUUGCAUUGCAUUGCAAGACACAAUUGCAUUGCAAAACCCAAUUGCAUUGCAUUGCAACCCCAAACACUUUUGCAUUGCAAUCCUUUGUUGCAUUGCAACCUGCCCCCCUUUUGCAUUGCAAGCUCCAAUUGCAUUGCAUUGCAAUCACCUCCCCUUUUGCAUUGCACAACCCCUUUGCAUUGCAUUGCAAUCCAAAUUUGCAUUGCAACCCCAUGCACUUUUGCAUUGCAAGAACCCUUUGCAUUGCAUUGCAACCCCCAAUUGCAUUGCAUUGCAAGACCCAAUUGCAUUGCAACCCUAAUAUGCUUUGCAUUGCAAGACCCCUUUGCAUUGCAUUGCAAGACCCAAAUGCAUUGCAACCCCAAACCCUUUUGCAUUGCAACCCCCUUCCCUUUUGCAUUGCAAGACCCUUAUGCAUUGCAUUGCAAUCCCCUCCCCUUUUGCAUUGCAAUCCUUCAUUGCAUUGCAACCCCCAACUGCAAUGCAUUGCACCCCACCUUUGCAUUUCAAGACCCCUUUGCAUUGCAAUCGUCAAUUGCAUUGCAACAAGCCUUUGCAUUGCAAGAGCCAAUUGCAUUGCAUUGCAAUCCGAAUUUGCAUUGCAACCCCAUGCACUUUUGCAUUGCAAGACCCAAAUGCAUUGCAAUCCCCUCCCCUAUUGCAUUGCAAGACCCAAAUGCAUUGCAACCCCAUGCACUUUUGCAUUGCAUUGCAAGACCCAAUUGCAUUGCAUUGCAAGCCAUCUUUGCAUUGCAACCCCAUGCACUUUUGCAUUGCAAGAACCCUUUGUAUUGCAUUGCAAGACACAAUUGCAUUGCAAAACCCAAUUGCAUUGCAUUGCAUUGCAAGACCCAAUUGCAUUGCAAGACCCCUUUGCAUUGUAUUGCAAGACCCCUUUGCAUUGCAACCCCAAACCCUUUUGCAUUGCAAACCCCAUCCACUUUUGCAUUGCAAGACCCAUUGCUUCAACCCCAAACCCUUUUGCAUUGCAAUACUUCGUUGCAUUGCAUUGCAUUGCAACCACCAAUUGCAUUGCAAGACCCAAUUGCAUUGCAUUGCAAGACCCCAUUGCAUUGCAACCCCCUCCCCUUUUGCAUUGCAACCCCCUCCCCUUUUUCAUUGCAACCCACCUUUGCAUCGCAAUCCCCCCCCUUUUGCAUUGCAACCCGAAUUUGCAUUGCAACCCCAUGCACUUUUGCAAUGCAAGACCCCUUUGCAUUGCAACCCCCGAUUGCAUUGCAACCCUCUUUUGCAUUGCAAUCCUUCAUUGCAUUGCAGUCCUCAAUUGCAUUGCAAGACCCCUUUGCAUUGCACACCCAUUGAUUGGCAAGACCAAUUGGGCAACCAAACCCUUUUGCAUUGCAUUGCAAUCCUUUGUUGCAUUGCAAUCCUUUGUUGCAUUGCAACAGGCCUUUGCAUUGCAAGCUCCAAUUGCAUUGCAAAACCCAAUUGCAUUUGCAUUGGCAUUGCAUAGACCCAUGUGCAUUGCAAGACGCCCUUUUGCAUUGUAUUGCAAGACCCCUUGCAUUCAACGCCCAAACCCUUUUGCAUUGCAACCCCAUCCACUUUUGCAUUGCAACCCCCAAUUGCACUGCAUUGCAUUUCAAUCCUUUGUUGUAUUGCAUUGCAAGACCCCAUUGCAUUGCAUUGCAACCCACCUUUGCAUUGCAACCCCCUCCCCUUUUGCAUUGCAAGACCCAAUGGCAUUGCAACCCCAUGCACUUUUGCAUUGCAUUGCAAGACCCAAUUGCAUUGCAUUGCAAGCCAUCUUUGCAUUGCAACACCAAACCCUUUUGCAUUGCAAGACCCCAUUGCAUUGCAUUGCAAUCCCCUCCCCUUUUGCAUUGCAACCCGAAUUUGCAUUGCAACCCCGUCCCCUAUUGCAUUGCAAGACCCAAUUGCAUUGCAACCCCAAAGACUUUUGCAUUGUAUUGCAACCCCAAACCCUUUUGCAUUGCAACCCGAAUUUGCAUUGCAACCCCAUGCACUUUUGCAUUGCAAACCCCAAUUGCAUUGCAAUCCUUUGUUGCAUUGCAAGACCCCUUUGCAUUGCAAGACCCAAUUGCAUUGCAACCCCAAACCCUUUUGCAUUGCAUUGCAUUGCAACCCACUUUUGCAUUGCAACCCCCUUUUGCAUUGCAACCUGCCCCGCUUUUGCAUUGCAUUGCAAGACCCUGUUGCAUUGCAAGACCCAAUUGCAUUGCAUUGCAAGACCCUUUUGCAUUGCAACCCCAAACCCUUUUGCAUUGCAACCCCAUGCACUUUUGCAUUGCAAGACCCAAUUGCAUUGCAAGACCCAAUUGCAUUGCAUUGCAAUCCUUCAUUGCAUUGCAAUCCUCCAUUGCUUUGCAACCCCAAACCCUUUUGCAUUGCAAGACCCAAUUGCAUUGCAUUGCAAAAUCCAAUUGCAUUGCAUUGCAAGACCCUUUUGCAUUGCAACCUGCCCCCCUUUUGCAUUGCAUUGUAAUCCUCCAUUGCAUUGCAACCCCAUAAACUUUUGCAUUGCAAGACCCCUUUGCAUUGCAACAGGCCUUUGCAUUGCAAGACCCAAUUGCAUUGCAUUGCAUUGCAAAACCCUUUUGCAUUGCAUUGCAACCCCCUUUUGCAUUGCAACCUCCAUUUGCAUUGCAUUGCAUUGCAUUGCAAACCCCCUCACCUCUGACUUGCUGCUCCAAGCUGAGGAUGACGGCCACGGCCUGAUGCAGGAUGAGCAGCUUGGUUUGCGGUUUGUCGCUCUUCAGAUGCAGCUGCACCAUCCUGCCCAGCUCCUUGAAGGCCUCGUUGAUGUCCCUCACUCUCAGUCUCUCUCUUGCAUUGUUGGCCAUGCGUCGCUCCUUUUCCCUCUCUGCUUUUUGCUCCGGGGUUAA
ensembl:lncRNA